GUACACAGACUGAAUGUAAAUAUAAGUCUCUGUAAAUCCAGUCUCUGACAGCAGGUGGCGGUUAUAGAAAAGCUGACUUACAGCUGUUUCCGUAAACUCCGUGGACAAAGCAGUAUUGCGAUUAAGAACACUUCCUUUAGGUAUUACACGGAGCGAAGAUGAAAACAAAAUGCCAUGGAAUCGUUUCUGAAGACAGCCAGAACCUUCAGAGGAAGGAUGCUGGAGAUGCAGAGAAACGUUUAACAGUCUUUAAUACUGGAAUCAUGGGGGAAAAUCCACCACAGGAACACAGGAAACACACAACAUCCAACAAGUAGACCCGACAAGGGAGAAACACACAGACAGGAACUUAAAUACACAGGAUAAUUACUUAAACGCAGGUGCAGGGAAUGAACUAAUCAGACUCAACGAGGACAGGAACAUGACCAAACAAGAGCGCCCCCAAGAGUCUUGGGCGCCCAAACUCCCGGAUCCGCCAUGGUCGUCCAAGCCUACUGCUCCGUCCUGGGCGCCCAAGCUCCCUGCUCCUCCUAGGCCUCCCAAGCUCCCUGCUCCGCCAUGGCUCCUCAAGCUCCCUGCUCCUCCUAGGCCUCCCGAGUCCCUGGAUCCUCCAUGGCCUUCCGAGCCUCCUGACCCGCCAUGGCCCUCGGAGUCCCCUGACCCGCCAUGGUCACUAAGAGUCUCCUGUUCCGCCGUGGAUGCCUCCUUAGUGUCCCGGUCCUGCACCGGUAUCCAGGGCGCCGGCCCCCCCCUCCCCGGUUGUACUGUUGCGGCGCGGGACGCGCCUACCGGGAGGGGGAGGUACUGUAACGUGUCUGCCUGUCCUAGUCCCCGUUUUCCUUAUUUGGUUUAGUUCCUGUCCUCAUUAAUUAUCGUUUCAUU